rnacentral:rRNA from 1 species
AUUGAACGCUGGCGGCAUGCCUUACACAUGCAAGUCGAACGGCAGCACGGGUGCUUGCACCUGGUGGCGAGUGGCGAACGGGUGAGUAAUACAUCGGAACAUGUCCUGUAGUGGGGGAUAGCCCGGCGAAAGCCGGAUUAAUACCGCAUACGAUCUACGGAUGAAAGCGGGGGACCUUCGGGCCUCGCGCUAUCGGGUUGGCCGAUGGCUGAUUAGCUAGUUGGUGGGGUAAAGGCCUACCAAGGCGACGAUCAGUAGCUGGUCUGAGAGGACGACCAGCCACACUGGGACUGAGACACGGCCCAGACUCCUACGGGAGGCAGCAGUGGGGAAUUUUGGACAAUGGGCGAAAGCCUGAUCCAGCAAUGCCGCGUGUGUGAAGAAGGCCUUCGGGUUGUAAAGCACUUUUGUCCGGAAAGAAAUCCUUGGCCCUAAUACGGUCGGGGGAUGACGGUACCGGAAGAAUAAGCACCAGCUAACUACGUG